rnacentral:rRNA from 1 species
CCCUACGGGGUGCACCAGGCCAUCUUGAUGCACACCCACAUCCACGAAAGCUCCAAAGGAUGUGACAUUGGUCACAAUGCCGGGAACGCUCAUUCCCACCAGCAGGUCGCCGAUCUCGUUUAUGCCCGGGGCAAAGCUGAAGGCCUCGUACUCCCGGCGCGGAUCUCUCCCCGGCCGGAAGAGCUCAUUUAAUAUGUCCUGAAGGGUGCAGAGGCCGACGCCCCCCUCCUGGUUCAUGUAGUCCUCCAGACUCAGUCCCGACAAAAGCCUCUCGUUCUCCACCUGCUCGCUGAUAGAGACCCCGGGAUCCUUUGCCAUUCUCGCCACAAUCGGAUAUCUCUCGGGAUGCACGGCCGUGCGUUCCAGCGGAUUGUCCCCAGCGUGAAUGCGCAGAAAUCCCGCCGCCUGCUCGAAGGCCUUCGGCCCCAGGCGGGGGACCGCCAGCAGAUCCCGGCGGGGGGGC